AAUAUUGGACAAUGGGCGGAAGCCUGAUCCAGCCAUGCCGCGUGUGUGAAGAAGGUAUNCGGAUUNUNAAGCACUGUAAUUUGGGNGGAAGGGCAGUUAACGAAUACUUAACUGUUUGGACGUUACCAAAAGAAUAAGCACCGGCUAACUUCGUGCCAGCAGCCGCGGUAAUACUAAGGGUGCAAGCGUUAAUCGGAAUUACUGGGCGUAAAGCGCGCGUAGGUGGUUCGUUAAGUUGGAAGUGAAAGCCCCCGGCUCAACCUGGGAAUUGCUUUCAAAACUGCCGAGCUAGAGUACGGUAGAGGGUGGUGGAAUUUCCUGUGUAGCGGUGAAAUGCGUAGGUAUAGGAAGGAACAUCACUGGCGAAGGCGACCACCUGGACUGAUACUGACACUGAGGUGCGAAAGCGUGGGGAGCAAACAGG
rnacentral:rRNA from 1 species